GGAGCCCUGAAUCAAGGCCCACAGCUUGGUGUAGCUGUUGGUUUCAAACAGUGGCUUAAAGCAAAGUCUUCUUAUGGUCUGUUGGCUUUCCCAAUUUUAUAUAAUGGGUUGAGCCAGUUCAGUUAGAAGGAACACCU